rnacentral:rRNA from 1 species
GGUUAAGCUGGUAAGAGCACACGGAGGAUGCCUAGGCGCUAGGAGCCGAAGAAGGACGUGGCGAACAACGAUAUGCCCCGGGGAGUCGUAAGCAGACUUUGAUCCGGGGAUGUCCGAAUGGGGGAACCCGGCUGCGGUUAUGCGCAGUCACUCACUUCUGAAUCCAUAGGAAGUGAAGAGGCAGACCAGGGGAACUGAAACAUCUAAGUACCCUGAGGAGAAGAAAACAAUCGUGAUUCCGUCAGUAGCGGCGAGCGAAAGCGGAGGAGCCCAAACCAGAGAGCUUGCUCACUGGGGUUGUGGGACACCUUAUACGGAGUUACAAAGGAGCAGAUUAGGCGAAGAGGUCUGGAAAGGCCUGCCACAGAAGGUAACAGCCCUGUAGCUGAAAGUCUGCUCUCUCCAAGGUGGAUCCCGAGUACGGCGGGACACGGGAAACCCCGUCGGAAUCCGGCAGGACCAUCUGCCAAGGCUAAAUACUCCCUAGCGACCGAUAGUGAA